rnacentral:lncRNA from 1 species
AUGAUACCUCCAAGCUUCCAAGUUAGGUUGGAAGCCAAGUUCAAGUUCAGAUGGAAACCAACCCCAAGUCGGGACUUAAAUCCCAAAUCCAAGUCAGAGUUUACACUCAGAGUCGGGAUGAAAACCAAAGUCCAAGUAGUGGUGGUAGCAAAACUCCAAGUCCGGAUGGAGAGCGAAUUACAAAUGGCUUUGCAGACUUGUGGUAUACACAUUAAAAUGUAA